GUCCCACCUGACCCCAUGCCGAACUCAGAAGUGAA
rnacentral:rRNA from 3 species